AUUGAACGCUGGCGGCAUGCCUAACACAUGCAAGUCGAACGAGUGGCGGACGGGUGAGUAGUGUCUGGGAACCUGCCUGAUGUAGGGGGCUAACUACUGGAAACGUUGGCUAAUACCGCAUAAUAUUCUAUCUGCCCCGAUGGGAUUAGCUAGUCGGUGGGGUAAAGGCUCACCUAGGCGACGAUCCUUAGCUGGUCUGAGAGGGUGACCAGCCACACUGGAACUGAGACACGGUCCAGACUCCUACGGGAGGCAGCAGUGGGGAAUAUUGGACAAUGGGCGCAAGCCUGAUGCAGCCAUGCCGCGUGUAUGAAGAAGGCCUUCGGGUUGUAAAGGACUUUCGGCAGGGAAGCGGUACCCGCAGAAGAAGCACCGGCUAACUACGUGCCAGCAGCCGCGGUAAUUC
rnacentral:rRNA from 1 species